rnacentral:rRNA from 1 species
UCCGUAGGCGGGCGUCUAAGUCAGUGGUGAAAUCUUACAGCUCAACUGUAAAAUUGCCAUUGAUAAUGGAUGUCUUGAAUUAGUGUGAAGUGGUUAGAAUGUGUAGUGUAGCGGUGAAAUGCAUAGAUAUUACACAGAAUAACAAUUGCGAAGGCAGAUCACUAACACUAUAUUGACGCUGAGGGACGAAAGCGUGGGGAGCGAACAGGAUUAGAUACCCUGGUAGUCC